rnacentral:rRNA from 1 species
AUACGGAGGGUGCGAGCGUUAAUCGGAAUUACUGGGCGUAAAGCGUACGUAGGCGGUUGGUUAAGUUAGAUGUGAAAGCCCUGGGCUUAACCUGGGAACUGCAUUUAAAACUGGCGAACUAGAGUUGAGUAGAGGGGAGUGGAAUUUCAGGUGUAGCGGUGAAAUGCGUAGAGAUCUGAAGGAACACCAGUGGCGAAGGCGACUCCCUGGACUCGAACUGACGCUGAGGUACGAAAGCGUGGGUAGCAAACGGGAUUAGAAACCCUAGUAGUCC